rnacentral:rRNA from 1 species
GAUGAACGCUAGCGGGAGGCCUAACACAUGCAAGUCGAACGGGAUUGGGAGCUUGCUCCCAUGAGAGUGGCGCACGGGUGAGUAACGCGUAUGCAACCUGCCUUUAACAGAGGGAUAGCCCAUAGAAAUGUGGAUUAAUACCUCAUAGUUCUAUUGGAUCGCAUGAUUUGAUAGAUAAAGCUCCGGCGGUUAAAGAUGGUCAUGCGUGACAUUAGCUAGUUGGUGGGGUAACGGCUCACCAAGGCAACGAUGUCUAGGGGUUCUGAGAGGAUGAUCCCCCACACUGGUACUGAGACACGGACCAGACUCCUACGGGAGGCAGCAGUGAGGAAUAUUGGUCAAUGGGCGCAAGCCUGAACCAGCCAUCCCGCGUGCAGGAUGACGGCCCUAUGGGUUGUAAACUGCUUUUAUACACCAAGAAAAAUCCCGAUGUAUCGGGACCCGACGGUAGUGUAUGAAUAAGCAUCGGCUAACUCCGUGCCAGCCGCCGCCGUAAAAC